rnacentral:rRNA from 1 species
CCCUUAGAUGUUCUGGGCUGCACGCGCGCUACACUGAUGCAUCCAACAAGUUUUUUCCUUGUUCGAGAGGACUAGGUAAUCUUAUGAGAAUGCAUCGUGAUGGGGAUAGAUUAUUGCAAUUAUUAAUCUUCAACGAGGAAUUCCUAGUAAGCGCGAGUCAUCAGCUCGUGCUGAUUACGUCCCUGCCCUUUGUACACACCGCCCGUCGCUGCAACUGAUUGGGUGACCUGGUGAACAUCUUGGACCGGCCCACUCAAUUUCGAGAGGACUGGAAAAGGCCGUAAAUCAGGUACAUCGAGAAAUUGCAAGUCGUAACA